AACCGAUAAGGGAAGAGAUUCGGAUUUUCAAGAAAGAAGUGUUUGACUACAUGGAUAACUACUUCAAAAAGUUGUUAGAUGCAAUAAAGGGCAAUCAAACACCAGAUAAGGUCGGCGACACAAUGUUAAAAGCUGACUUACAUAGUGAUGGUGGGAUUUAUCAAGGCAAUCAAAGUGGCGGUACA